UAGGGAAUCUUCCGCAAUGGACGAAAGUCUGACGGAGCAACGCCGCGUGAGUGAAGAAGGCUUUCGGUUCGUAAAACUCUGUUGUUAGGGAAGAAAAAAUGUAUAGUAACUAUAUACAAAAGAGACGGUACCUAACCAGAAAGCCACGGCUAACUACGUGCCAGCAGCCGCGGUAAUACGUAGGUGGCAAGCGUUGUCCGGAAUUAUUGGGCGUAAAGCGCGCGCAGGUGGUUUAGAAAGUCUGAUGUGAAAGCCCACGGCUCAACCGUGGAGGGUCAUUGGAAACUAAUAAACUUGAGUGCAGGAGAGAAAAGUGGAAUUCCUAGUGUAGCGGUGAAAUGCGUAGAGAUUAGGAGGAACACCGGUGGCGAAAGCGGCUUUUUGGCCUGCAACUGACACUGAGGCGCGAAAGCGUGGGGAGCGAACAGG
rnacentral:rRNA from 1 species